AUGAGGGAGCUGCGAGAACCAUUGCCAUCACGGAGGACGGGGACGCGCAAGAGGGAGCCAUCACGGUGGUCGUCAUCGCCGCUGUUGAGUAAAUCUUCAUGCUUUUUCAGAAAUCGAAGUUUUACUGAUUCGACAAGGAAGGGAACCGGUGGAAGGAGAGAACUGCAGGUACCGUCAAGUUCCCAAAGAACAAGGUUACUAUCAAGGUUUGGCUUCUCAUCUGAACAAAAUUCAUUUGUGCUUCUUUGUUUAUGUUGUUUAUUCUUUGAUUCAUAUGUGCUUCCCUAGUUCUCUGAUUCUUCAGUUUGUAGGUAGUUAGAGAAGUUUAAAUGAUAAUUGUUUGAGCCUCAUAUAAUAAUGUCAAACAUAGUUCUUUUGCUUUCAUUAUAGUAGUUAAAUCUUAAGAAGGUUAAUUGGUUCAUUUGUGCAACUAAGUUUUGUUCUUUUUUUUUUGUUUAUGCAUAACAAAAUCAUUGCUGAGUGUGAGUCUUUAGCACCUCAGGUGCCUUCUUCCUGUAUUUGCAGAACUUCUCUCAAGAGCUUCAAAAGCUUGAAGAGUAUUGCAUGAACUAUAAAUCCAUUGAUUUAAUGGUAUAUUUCCUGAACGAGUUUUGUACCUUAAGCAAGAGCUUACAAAUGGU